GCAGAAGGCCCGCAUCAGCCAAUCGCGUGCGCUGCAACCAACGUGGGGCGCUGACGCGCUCCUCCCCGGAGCGUAUGGCAGCGCAGCGCCGGACGGGGCGUUCUCCCUCCCCCCCUCCUCUCGCUUCCAUCUCCGCCGUCUCCUCGGUCUCCCUUCCCAUCCCGGCCCCUCCUCCGCCAGCCGCGUCCUCCCGGGCUUGGUGAGGAACUGUUCCUGGAGGAGCCGCGGGACGCCAAAACCAGCCAAUGGGAAGCGGCGAUUCGCGGAGAUUGGCACUGAUGAUGGGAAGCAAUGAUAAGGAAACUAAACUGGAUUAAGUGCUAUCAUCUUGGAGGUGCAAAGGCAAACAAGGAGAAAGAAGUGAUUGAAGAGCACUUCAGAAAGCUUGGUACAUUCAAAUCAGCAGGGCUUGAUUACUCGCAUCCCAGGACACUUAAGGAAUUGGCAAAUAUAAUUGCAAGACCACCAGCCUUUAUUUUAGAAAAUGAAGGUUGGACAGAAGAAGGUCCUGACAAGUAAAAUCAGCAGAUGGAGUACCUGUUUUUUAAAAGAGGGAAAAGGACAGCUGUAGUAAUUAUAGACUAUUCAGUUUAUCUUGGAUACCUGGGAAGAUACAAGAGCAAAUCAUCAAACAAUCAAUUUGCAACCACCUAGAAGAGUACAAGCUACUGGGUCGUAAUCAACGUGAUUUUGUGAAGUGCAAAUUAUGCCACACCAAUUUAAUUUUAUCUAUGAUAGAGUGAUGAGCCUGGCAGAAGAGGGGAAAGCAAUAUCUACAACUGGACUUCAAUAAGGAAUAUUGAUCUCAGCGUUACUUUGACCAUUAAUGAAUUAUGAUGGCAAUAAGCAAAGAUUCGCACCUCUAGCCUCCGGGGAGCUUAAUCUUCUGCUACAACAUUUGCAUUUGGUGUCUCUCUACUGCUCAGGCUGGAGUGCAGUGGUGCGAUCAUAGCUCACUGCAGCCUCGACUUCCUGGGCUCAGGUGACCCUCUCGCCUGAAACCAUAUUCCCCCUCAAGUAGCUGAGACUACAGAGACAAGGUCUCACUAUGUUGCCUAGGCUGGUCUUCAACUCCUGGCCUGAAGUUAUCCUCUCAUCUUGGACUGCCAAAGUGCUGGGAUUUGGCACCACUGAGCCAAAUCCCAGGCGUGAGCCACUGAGCCUGGGCUGUUCUUCCUUCUUUAUAGGCUUAAAAACCUUCAAAAAUUAUCUCAAGAUUAUCCACUCCAGGAAGAACUUGAGCCUCAUUGAUUGAAUUGGUGUACUUCUCCUCCCUUCCUAUAGCAUUUUCUUUAUGUGUCUAUCCUAGCACUUCUCACACAGUGUUGAAUUCAUCUGUCCACCUGGCUCAUCAUACAAAUUGUUCCAUGAGUUCAAGGAUCAUGCUGCAUGCUGGAUUCCCCCGGAAGCUGAUUCUGAGAUGGAGUUUAGUGUACUAAAUAUUUAUGUGGGCCUUUGGAUCAUCACCUGUGAAAAGGAAGAGAAGGAAGCAGGAGUGGACCUAGGGUGAAGUGAAGCUCUGAUGCAAACCUGACAACUGCCUCACCUGACACCAUGAAGAGCUCUGGAGCUAGAAUGGCCUUUUGUUGUUCUGAAUUGGUGUGAGGUAGCUAGGUCUUUACACCCCUGCCACCACCCAUUAUUGGGUAUGGGCCAACCAGGAAGGGGCAUGACCAUGAGUGAUGCAGCUCUGCAGCUGAAGCAAUAACUGAAGAGGCUGACAGCUGAGGGCCAUCUGCUGACAGUACUCCCUGCAGCUGGGCAGCACAUCCUUUCUCAAAAGGGGAUCAAGGCAGUUGCAUCUCCGUGUCCACCAUGGACUAUAUAUUUUUUCUUUGCAUUCCUAGGGCCUCCCAUAGUAUAUGGCACAUAGUAGGCAAAACUGGAGGUCUGUAGGGCAAAUUCAGCUAGUAGAUGAGUAUUGUUUUUUCACCCACAAAGAGAUUUUUAAAAAUUAGUUGUCAACAUUUAAAAAUAAAAAGAUUUCACAUUGAAAUUAUCAUAUUUUCUAGCUUUUCU
rnacentral:lncRNA from 10 species